GCUACAUGCUAAUAAGCUACCGCUAGUAACUUUCAAGCUCCGGAUCUCACAGAUAAGUUCAACUUUCCACUGCUAUUUGGUGUUUCUAUUCAUGUUUUAAUGUGUUUAAAUGACACUUGCGGUUAUUAGGACCUUCCGAGACAUACAAAAAGAUCGCCAUUUUAGUUAACUGUUUGACUAAUAUUAAUACAAACUAUGCAGUGAAUUAUGUUUUACUAAUUUAAGUACAAAUAACAAUGUUGUGGAUAAUCUGGAUAAAUGAGAUGUUUAUUGUUGUCAACUAACUAAUGAAACAGACACAUUAGGUUUACUCUGUAUUAAUUUAAUUGUGUGUAUAAACAGUUUUAGUGUCAAAAUAUGUCUUUAUGAGGUUUCUGUUCUCUUACAAAGAGCCUGGAUGUCCAUCCACCCAUCCAUUUCCUACCGCUUGUCCCUUUCGGGGUUGCGGGGGGGUCGCUGGAGCCUAUCAGCUGCAUUCGGGCGGAAGGCGGGGGUACACCCUGGACAAGUCGCCACCUCAUCGCAGAAGUGUUAAACAAGGGGUCGUCGCUGGAGCCUAUCUCAGCUGCAUUCGGGCGGAAGGCGGGGUACACCCUGGACAAGUUGCCACCUCAUCGCAGAAGUGUUAAACAAAAUUAUGACUCCUUUGUUCUCGUGCUCAUCAAGAUCCUCAGACACAUGGUCUCUCUGG